UACGUAGGGUGCGAGCGUUAAUCGGCAUUACUGGGCGUAAAGCGUGCGCAGGCGGUUCUAUAAGACAGUCGUGAAAUCCCCGGGCUCAACCUGGGAAUUGCGAUUAUGACUGUAGAGCUGGAGUGCGGCAGAGGGGGAUGGAAUUCCGCGUGUAGCAGUGAAAUGCGUAGAUAUGCGGAGGAACACCGAUGGCGAAGGCAGUCCCCUGGGCCUGCACUGACGCUCAUGCACGAAAGCGUGGGGAGCAAACAGG
rnacentral:rRNA from 1 species